AUAUACACGUGAGUGCACUGCUAUUAUUUUUGCUGCAAUUAUUUUAUUACUAUCGAAGUAUAAGAAUAUACGUGUACCAUAUAUGUAUUCUAUGUACCAUAUAUGUAGAUUCAAAGUGACGUGUAUGGGAUAAUUUAAGUAGAGAUGGACUAUUACGAAAGACGAAUUAUGUAUUUUCUAAACAAGUGUGUAGAAUACGUCGAUAUUGUUAUGCUAAUUGCAAUGGAACGUAUUUGUGAAACGAAGAUUGAAAUCGCUUGCAAAAAUGUAGAAUCCAUUACGAUUGUUAACACAGCAACGAUUAUUUACAUUUAUUCAGUUUAUCACGUUAUUCUAUUUCAUUUUAGUAAUAUCUCAUUAUUCAUUUAUUACUAGGUCAUAGGUUUAGUAGAUUAGUAUUUUCAAGUCCUUAAAAAGAGUAUAUUUGUACGUCCAUUCCUGCACUCGGACAUCGAAGAAAACGAGUGUACACGUAAAACGUUGAUCAAAAUUUCAUGUCGAUCGAUUACUAUUUUAAGAAGAUUUUGAUGCACUUGGAAAUGUUUAAGAAAGGGAGCGGCUUUGAGGAAGAAAGUGGCAGCGGAAAUGUGCAAGGAAGAAAGCGACUUUGAGGAAGAAAAUGACAGCGGAAAUGUUUGUGAAAGAAAAGAGACAUUUUUGAUCAAACCUUCGAUACACGUUACAACUUGCAGUGCAAGUUUUUUUUCAGCAAAGUAAAAUUGAGAUCGUAAAUUGUAUACUACUCGUAACAUUUGAAUCUAAAGAAACCACAGGCCGAUGUCCCAACUCACUGCAAUUUUACGUUCGAAAUGUUGCAGCGGCUUUUAGAAUGCAGAGAUUUAGAAGAUACUUGUAGAUUUAGAACGCGGAGAUUUGUAAUGGAAAUUUAAAGAGGCCUUUGGCGUUAACGAAAGAGGAAUGGACUACGAUCCCAGAUGCAUACAUAUAGUUCAUGGACUGAACCCAUUAAAUGGAACCACGCUAAACUCACAGAAAAAUCAGUUAUUUUUAGAAGACUUUUAUAAAUAACGGUUAGCUUUUAAAGCACAUGCUAUGAAAAAGGACUGGAGCUGAGUUUAUAAAAGUUUUAUUAAAUCAACCAAUCUAAAUUUUGCUUCCACUCCCUUGAAAAUAAUCCUUUCCUGCAACAAUAUAGCGAUCAGAUUGGCUUUACCGUAGCCCCAAUGAUUUCUGAAAGCAAAAUUUAGAUUGGCUCACUUAAUAAAACUUUUAUGAACUCAGUCUUUUUUUAUAGUACCUCGUACAAUUCAAAUCGAUAACUUGAGAUACAGCUGCGAUGGUAUUUCAUUACUUAAACAAUAGAAAAAUACUUAUAAUACUAAUUAUUAGACGGUUGGUCUCAGAAUAAAAACUAAAAGAGAAAAGGCACAUAAAAACAGUCGAUAUAAGAAUUAAUGAGCUAGAAAGUUAAGCCACUUCUACGUUCAGUCGCAACGGAAAAACUGACAAAGUGUCGCGUACAGGUGACAGUUCUUCCUUUUUAUCGCAUGAGUCUGUAAGAGAGAUGGAAGCGAACUCAUCUUCCGACGAGGAGUCGCAAGAUCUCAGCUUUGAAACGCUUGGUAAGGUAUAUAAGAAGAUCGAAAAUGAGAAAGAAAGGCGUAUGAACAUUGAUAUAGAGACAAUGACGAAAUACAAGAAACGUGUCAUUUUAUAUCUAGCAAAAUUAGCUUCCAUGGUACAGUUACGCUCUUCCUGCGACGCAAGUUAAACGAGCUUUUUCAAUUCCGAAUCUAAGUGAACGUCUCGAGAGGUAACUUAUCUUCACAAAAUUAAUAUAAAUUUAUGUUUCUGAAAUUUAACUUGGAUUUUAGGCAAUAGUUAUAUAUGUACAAAUAUAAAAUAAAGAAUGGAGUUGUAAUAACUUUUGUUUUAUUCUAUGCUUUAACAUUUGCAUAAGUUUUUUGUUUAUUAAAAUGAUAUAAGUCUUAUAAUUCAUUUUAUGUCAUUGAUAAAUAAAAUGCAUCAAAAUUAGACUCCAUUGUUUGAUAUUUCGCAGGAGACUUUAGAAGAAUGUUUGAGAUUAAUAUACUUGUAAUUUUUAUAAAUAAAAUUAAAUGAAGAGACUCUCUCAUUUAGUUAAUUGUAACACGCAAAGAUUAUUUCUCGCUACAGACUCAACGUAUCGAAAUUUAUUUCUGUUAAUUAUAUUUAUAUUGUAAAACAUACAUGUGUUAAAAUAAGU